rnacentral:rRNA from 1 species
CAGUAGCCGCGGUAAUACGAGGGGGGCAAGCGUUGUUCGGAAUUAUUGGGCGUAAAGGGCGCGUAGGCGGCGGCCAAAGUCAGGCGUGAAAUUCCCGGGCUCAACCUGGGGGCUGCGUUUGAUACUUGGUUGCUUGAGUGGGGAAGAGGGUCGUGGAAUUCCCAGUGUAGAGGUGAAAUUCGUAGAUAUUGGGAAGAACACCGGUGGCGAAGGCGGCAACCUGGUCCUUGACUGACGCUGAGGCGCGAAAGCGUGGGGAGCAAACAGGAUUAGAUACCCCUGUAGUCCCUGUCUCUUAUAC